rnacentral:lncRNA from 1 species
CUCACCCUGUGUUAGAGGCUGUGCCUGGGCUCCUUAACCGCGCACUUCUGACUGGGAGCGGAGCGAUCCAGUGGCGAAGGACCACCCAUGCAUCGCUGGCCUCUGCCUGGGACUGGACAGGGAAUCAAGACCAGACAACAGCUAGGCCUAGUGGUGCACGCCUGUAAUCCCAACGCUCGGGAGGCCGAGGCAGAAGGAUCACUGAGAGUUUGAGGAGAGCCUGAACUGUGAAGCAAGACUGUCUCAGCAACAAAACAAGACUUUAGAAAGUGAAAUGUAAAAUAGUACCCAAGACCAGACAACGUCCUCAUCUCAGGGCACCCAGGGCCACUUCCAGCAAAACUGCAGACCUCACGUCUUGUCCCCAUCCUGAGGGCCUCGGUGGCACGGUCCUGGCACGGACUAAGUGAUCGCUAAGCACUAGAGAAUGGAUUCCAGCAUCUCCGGCUCCAGGGUGAGGCGGGAAGGCCAAGGAGAAGGAGCAGCUGGUGGCAGCACCUGCCAAGAUUUUAACCGGAAGUCUGGCACUCCACGCGCGUCUAAUGGGCAUCCACCUUUCAGAAAAAUCGUCAGAGCCUCUAAAUCAAAAGCAAAUCCUCCAAAAAGUAAAAAAGCCUCACCUGGUGAUUGCCAUGCAGAGCUGAGUUUUAUUACAAGACCGUCGGGAAGCCCGUGUGAGUCCCAGCCAGUGACGGGGUCACGGGGAGAAGGUGAGGUUUGAACCCGGAAGGCUCACCUUGGGGAGAACUUUCUCCGCACACAAAGUUCUGCCUUUCAAAAUGUCAACUGUAGAAAGCGGGAGGGGGGGGCCUCCCCCCCAGGAAACAUCCUGGACUACUUCUGGGUCUCCAUUCAUUUGAUGUGCAGCAAAUAUGUAAAACCAGCAGCGGGCGGCCAGCCCGGAAGCCCAGGUGAAUAAAAAAUCUAGAAUUGCA